ACAUCCUUUUCUGGAAAAUGCUUUGGUCCCAGGACCUCAUGACAUCGCAUGUCUUAAGCCAGACAAGAAUUACAAAGUGAACAGCUAGGCACACCUGUGUGUGCAGGCUCUUGAAGUGGGAGCUUGGAUUAUUAAUCAAGACACUUCCUCUUUUCCAGUGUAAAUACCUCAGCACUGUAAAGUUACUGCUUGUCCUGCUCUAGCGCAUCCACAACCAAAACAUGUUGUUUGGCUCUGCCAAGUCUUGGAUGCGUUCUGAUGGACUCGUCUUUUGCAGGAGCUCUCAUCCCACAUGCAUUUUAGAGGGCAGGAGCGCUCACAGCUACGCACUGGAGAAACCAGGACUGUUCAUCAGCAGGGUUGC